ACGGACGAGAAGCUUGCUUCUCUGAUGUUAGCGGCGGACGGGUGAGUAACACGUGGAUAACCUACCUAUAAGACUGGGAUAACUUCGGGAAACCGGAGCUAAUACCGGAUAAUAUUUUGAACCGCAUGGUUCAAAAGUGAAAGACGGUCUUGCUGUCACUUAUAGAUGGAUCCGCGCUGCAUUAGCUAGUUGGUAAGGUAACGGCUUACCAAGGCAACGAUGCAUAGCCGACCUGAGAGGGUGAUCGGCCACACUGGAACUGAGACACGGUCCAGACUCCUACGGGAGGCAGCAGUAGGGAAUCUUCCGCAAUGGGCGAAAGCCUGACGGAGCAACGCCGCGUGAGUGAUGAAGGUCUUCGGAUCGUAAAACUCUGUUAUUAGGGAAGAACAUAUGUGUAAGUAACUGUGCACAUCUUGACGGUACCUAAUCAGAAAGCCACGGCUAACUACGUGCCAGCAGCCGCGGUAAUACGUAGGUGGCAAGCGUUAUCCGGAAUUAUUGGGCGUAAAGCGCGCGUAGGCGGUUUUUUAAGUCUGAUGUGAAAGCCCACGGCUCAACCGUGGAGGGUCAUUGGAAACUGGAAAACUUGAGUGCAGAAGAGGAAAGUGGAAUUCCAUGUGUAGCGGUGAAAUGCGCAGAGAUAUGGAGGAACACCAGUGGCGAAGGCGACUUUCUGGUCUGUAACUGACGCUGAUGUGCGAAAGCGUGGGGAUCAAACAGGAUUAGAUACCCUGGUAGUCCACGCCGUAAACGAUGAGUGCUAAGUGUUAGGGGGUUUCCGCCCCUUAGUGCUGCAGCUACGCAUUAAGCACUCCGCCUGGGGAUUACGACCGCAA
rnacentral:rRNA from 1 species